UUUUAUUUGNNNNNNNNNNNCACAAUCUUAAGAAUAUUGUAAAUUCAGUAAUAUUUACGUACGCACAUUUAUGUUUACAAAAUUUUAACAUUUGACAAUAUGCAAUAGUAUCUGCUUUUUUAAUGUAGAUAACAAGUAAUAUGUUGACCCUGAGGGAGUACAUCUUGCUUCGUCUUUAGUUGUAUAUGUUUUGUUUCGUGAACCAUGGCAAACCUUUAUCUUUACUUUUAGAUAUUCAGUUGAAAUAACCCUCCCUUCUCUUUCUAAAUUCUUUUGUUUUAUUUUAAUUUAAAGUUCGAUAGGUGCCACAGAUUUUCUUAUAUAUUUAUGUUUAUGUAUACAUCAUAUCAUGUUUGUACUGAUAAAUAUAUAUAUAAUUUUUAUAUUAUAUUGUUGGUUUUUUUUGUCAUAUUGAAAGAAAAAAUUAUGACAGGCAAUACAAGUUAUACUUAUUGACCUCCAUUUAUGUUAUCCAGUUAAUCACACAUAUUUUUUCGAUAUGAAACUGUCAUACAAAAAAGGUGCAUAGAUGAUCCUUAUAACCAUGAAAAAAACGCAGGAGACCGUACCAUUGUUCAAGGUCGAAAAGUUUUAAACUUUUUUUCUAAAACAAAUCAAAGAUGUUGUCUACCUUUGAAAUUUAAUUGUAGAGUAUGUUGCUUUGUUUUUUUAGCACAUUGAAGAAAUUGAAGUAAACGAUAGCGAGAGAACCAAUCUUUGUUACGUUUCAAUACCUGUAUAUAAUGGUACAAAUGUUCAUAUACAUGUAUCUAAUUUUGAAGAGAGUCAAUGAUUUGGUCAAGGGGUUAGUAUAACGUAUGUUGCUAAGAUUAGAAUUAAAUGCUAAGUAGUGCGCAUCCAGCCUCUCUCACUUGGUGUUCAUACGAUUUCCUCAAGUUUUGUUUGUAACCUAAUUCGUAUUUUCUGAUUCGAUUUAUGAGAUUGAAUAUUGGUUGUCUUCUGUUGCCUUAAUUUGUUCGUACAAGUCAACAUAACGUACACUAAUAUGGUAAGGUAUGACGUAAACAAUACACGAACAUUUGAUGAUUGGAAUUAUCGCACAGCGGGUAAUUUAUGACGUUGUGAUGGGUUAAAAGCCGUCGUGUGCCAGUGGUGACCCACUAUUGAUUGAUAGGUGGUUAGUAAAUUUCAUAUGGGGUUCCGGACGUUACAUCUUCUUAGGUUGCAUUUGAUGGACUGAAUGUUGGUCAGUUUUGUAUUAUCUUUUUAUAAUUUAAGGAUGUGUUUUUUCUACAAUUAGGUCUUUGACUGUACGGACAGUCAAAUAAAAGCAAUUCAUUGUACCAAAGCUCAAUUUCAGGACAUUUGUAGGCACAUACUUCGCAUUAGCUUUCAUUGAUUACAAGCGCAAGUCCUCAUUGUUUGUGUUGAACAUUUUCUAUUUUUGUUGGGUGAAUAACUUUUACCAAAAUCUUCUCCUCUGAAACUACUGGGCCAAAUUUAAAAGUCAUAUGAAACGAGUAUUUAUUUCACUUGGUCCGUGUUGUGAAAAUAUGGCAGCUUAUUAAUGGUCGUGUUUUGAAACCGAAGUUUACCGACUGUCACCUUUGUAAACAAUCAACAAAGAAGCAUGCAUAUUCAGGUAAGCACGUGUAUUACAUGUACAAUAAGAUAUUUACAGUUUUUUUAGAUGUCGGAACGAUGUUAAUGUUUGUUGACUCUCUCUGCCAAUUUGGUUUUUCCAUUCGCACUUGCGUAUUGCGAUCUCCGGAUUUUUACGAGAAAGGUCACGCUGAGGUCACUGCACACAUAAAAUCUGUCGGCGAAUUGUUGGCUGGAAGAAAACAAUAAAAAAAGUUAAUUCAACGGUUUAUUAUGUUACUUUAUAGUCUUGUAAGAAUAACAUUUUACCAAAAACAAUAAUUUUGGGUACGCUAUUAAAACCAUAAAUUACAUUUCCAUCAUCAAAUUGUAACAAUUGUCCCAAAAACUAUUAUUUAUGUGUAGCAUAAAAGUACUAAAACGAUUGAAAUUUAAGAGUUGUUUGCAACUGAAAAAUUAAUGUAUUUUAGUGUGACUUUAAUUUAAUAAAACUAAU
rnacentral:lncRNA from 1 species